rnacentral:rRNA from 1 species
CCUACGGGAGGCAGCAGUGAGGAAUAUUGGUCAAUGGACGAGAGUCUGAACCAGCCAAGUAGCGUGAAGGAUGACUGCCCUAUGGGUUGUAAACUUCUUUUAUAAAGGAAUAAAACGAGGCACGUGUGCCUUUUUGCAUGUACUGUAUGAAUAAGGAUCGGCUAACUCCGUGCCAGCAGCCGCGGUAAUACGGAGGAUCCGAGCGUUAUCCGGAUUUAUUGGGUUUAAAGGGAGCGUAGAUGGGUUGUUAAGUCAGUUGUGAAAGGUUGCUGCUCAACCGUAAAAUUGCAAUUGAUACUGGCAGUCUUGAGUACAGUUGAGGUAGGCGGAAUUCGUGGUGUAGCGGUGAAAUGCUUAGAUAUCACGAAGAACCCCGAUUGCGAAGGCAGCUUACUAAACUGUGACUGACAUUGAUGCUCGAAAGUGUGGGUAUCAAACAGGAUUAGAUACCCUUGUAGUC